UACAGAGGUCCCAAGCGUUGUUCGGAUUCACUGGGCGUAAAGGGUGCGUAGGUGGUCGGGUAAGUCUGAUGUGAAAUCUCCGAGCUUAACUCGGAAAUGGCAUUGGAUACUAUUCGGCUGGAGGUUUGGAGGGGGGACUGGAAUUCUCGGUGUAGCAGUGAAAUGCGCAGAUAUCAGGAAGAACACCCGUGGCUAAGGCGGUUCUCUAGUACGGUACUGACGCUGAGACGCGAAAGCGUGGGGAGCGAACAGG
rnacentral:rRNA from 1 species